CCUACGGGUGGCAUCAGUGGGGAAUAUUGGACAAUGGGGGCAACCCUGAUCCAGCCAUGCCGCGUGUGUGAAGAAGGCCCUCGGGUUGUAAAGCACUUUCAGUGAGGAAGAACGCCUGGUGGUUAAUACCCAUCAGGAAAGACAUCACUCACAGAAGAAGCACCGGCUAACUCCGUGCCAGCAGCCGCGGUAAUACGGAGGGUGCGAGCGUUAAUCGGAAUUACUGGGCGUAAAGCGCGCGUAGGUGGCUUGAUAAGCCGGUUGUGAAAGCCCCGGGCUCAACCUGGGAACGGCAUCCGGAACUGUCAAGCUAGAGUGCAGGAGAGGAAGGUAGAAUUCCCGGUGUAGCGGUGAAAUGCGUAGAGAUCGGGAGGAAUACCAGUGGCGAAGGCGGCCUUCUGGACUGACACUGACACUGAGGUGCGAAAGCGUGGGUAGCAAACAGGAUUAGAUACCCUGGUAGUC
rnacentral:rRNA from 1 species